AGCAGCGUGUACAGUGGUUAGAGUGUUGGACUAUGACUCCGGAGACCAGGGUUCGAAUCCCUGCUCAGCAA